CCUACGGGUGGCAGCAGUAGGGAAUUUUGCGCAAUGGGCGAAAGCCUGAACCAGCCAAGUCGCGUGAGGGAAGACGGUCCUAUGGAUUGUAAACCUCUUUAGGCGGGGAGCAAUGCCGGGCACGUGUGCCCGGAGGGAGAGUACCCGCAGAAUAAGCAUCGGCUAACUCCGUGCCAGCAGCCGCGGUAAUACGGAGGAUGCGAGCGUUAUCCGGAUUUAUUGGGUUUAAAGGGUGCGUAGGCGGAUUUUUAAGUCAGCGGUAAAAUGUCCGGGCUCAACCCGGGCCGGCCGUUGAAACUGGGGAGCUUGAGUGGGCGAGAAGUAUGCGGAAUGCGUGGUGUAGCGGUGAAAUGCAUAGAUAUCACGCAGAACUCCGAUUGCGAAGGCAGCAUACCGGCGCCCGACUGACGCUGAGGCACGAAAGCGUGGGGAUCGAACAGGAUUAGAUACCCGGGUAGUC
rnacentral:rRNA from 1 species